ensembl:lncRNA
AUGUUGAAAAGAUUUACUGAAAUCAAAGAUCCAGUCAUCUCCACCCUGACACUAACUAAUGCACCUCUGCCAACCUUGUCACCAGAGGAAUGGAACAUUUCCAGAGAAACCUUGGACAUUAUUAAGCCAUUUGAAGAGGUCACCACUGAAGUGAGUGCAGAAAAGUUUGUGACCGCAUCCAAAGUCAUUUUGAUGGCAAGAGGUCUUCAGAGGAUUGUUGCCCGAUAUCAAAGAAAUCCCUCCAGCUUUGACCCUGUUAAAAAACUAGUGGAUGCCCUGAUGUCAGAAAUGACUAGGAGGUUUGGCAAAGUGGAACACAUUGAAAAGCUUGCUGAUGCUACUUGCCUGGACCCAAGGUUCAAAAAGCAAGCUUUUGUCAAUCACCAGGCAGCAGAAGAGACAGUAAAGUGGAUUCCAGCAGCUGCAGCAGCUAUUAACCCAGCUCAGAGUGAGGAGGAGAAUACUUCAGAUCCUGGUGCGACUGCCAGUGCAGGGGCCAUGUGUUGGGAAGACUUUGAUGAGAGGGUAACAAGCUUGAGGCCUUCUGCUUCCUCUUCUAAGACCUCAGAUGCUAUGAUGGAGAUGGGGGCCUACCUUGGAGAGCCACUCUUGCCCCGCACAUCAGACCCUCUGGCCUGGUGGAGGAGAUGUUCACCAGUAUACAAACCCCUUUCUGAAGUCACGAAGACAAGACUUUGCAUUGUGGCCACAUCCGUGACAUCUGAAAGAAUUAUUUCUAAAACUGGGCAGAUUCUCUCAGAGAGAAGAAACAGACUCAGCCCAUCCAAGGUCCGGGAGCUUGUUUUUUUGAAUGCAAACAUGCCUUAAAGCAAGUCCUAAAAAUAUAGCCACAGUGUGUUAUUUAUUUUAAAGCUUAUUUAUUUUUAUUUAUUUAGAAAAUGUCUAGCUUGUUGUGCAAUAUUUUUGUUGUUGUUGUGAUUUCAAAGGUAAUUUGUUAAGGUUAAAGGGUUCUGUAUCUCUAGUAUCUCUUAGUAUUUCUUAUUUUCAUUUUUUUUUAUUUAAAUGGUUUACAAUUAAUUUGGGAAUAGUUAACCUCUUUGAUAUAAAGUUUUUUUUGCACAAAAGUGUUAUUUUAAAACUUAUUUUAAACUAAAAAAAGACAAGCUUGUUGUGCAAUAUUUAGUUUUUUUUUUAUAUUGUACUUUUAAAGUUAAUUUGUUAAGGUUAUUAGACUCUGGCUUUAGUAUCUUUUAAUUUUCAUUUCAUUUAAUUUUUUUUUUUAAUUGUUUUAAUUUAUUUUGGAAUAGUUACCCUCUUUGCUUUUCUGGCACAAAAAUAAAAAAGAAACAACGAUUCA